GGAUGUGAGGGCGAUCUGGCUGCGACAUCUGUCACCCCAUUGAUCGCCAGGGUUGAUUCGGCUGAUCUGGCUGGCUAGGCGGGUGUCCCCCUCCUCCCUCACCGAUCCAUGUGCGUCCCUCCCGAAGCUGCGCGCUCGGUCGAAGAGGACGACCUUCCCCCCCGAGGAGAGGACCGGUCUUCGGUCAAGGGUAUACGAGUAGCUGCGCUCCCCUGCUAGAACCUCCAAACAAGCUCUCAAGAGCACAGCUGCUUGAGCCAGACUGCCUGGAUCUGAAUCCUACCUCUACCCCUUACCAGCUAGGAGACUUUGGGCACAAUACCUAGUCAUGCUAUGCUG
rnacentral:snRNA from 1 species